AGUGAACGCUGGCGGUAGGCCUAACACAUGCAAGUCGAACGGCAGCACAGUAAGAGCUUGCUCUUACGGGUGGCGAGUGGCGGACGGGUGAGGAAUACAUCGGAAUCUACUUUUUCGUGGGGGAUAACGUAGGGAAACUUACGCUAAUACCGCAUACGACCUACGGGUGAAAGCAGGGGAUCUUCGGACCUUGCGCGAUUGAAUGAGCCGAUGUCGGAUUAGCUAGUUGGCGGGGUAAAGGCCCACCAAGGCGACGAUCCGUAGCUGGUCUGAGAGGAUGAUCAGCCAAACUGGAACUGAGACACGGUCCAGACUCCUACGGGAGGCAGCAGUGGGGAAUAUCGGACAAUGGGCGCAAGCCUGAUCCAGCCAUACCGCGUGGGUGAAGAAGGCCUUCGGGUUGUAAAGCCCUUUUGUUGGGAAAGAAAAGCAGCAGGUUAAUACCCCGCUGUUCUGACGGUACCCAAAGAAUAAGCACCGGCUAACUUCGUG
rnacentral:rRNA from 1 species